GAGUGAACGGUGGCACAACGAACAGCAGUGGCCAGAACAAACAGUGAGCAGCUGGAGGAACGAGUAAGGUGCCUUCUUGCCCCCCACCUGGGAGGUGAACUCAUGUGAAAGCACCUCUGAAGGCUGAGUCACCACUGAUCAAGGACAACACCGAUCAAAGUGAAAAUGAAAAGACAAUACAACAAUUUUUCCACUCAAAGGCCUCAAAAACUAACCAAAGUGAAGAACACAUCAAGGACCAAAAAGAAAAGGAGUAAUUGUGGCACUUUAGAGACUAACAAAAUUUAUUUGAGCAUAAGCUUUCAUGAACUACAGCUCACUUCUUUUUGCAGACACGGACUAACACGGCUGCUACUCUGAAAAGAAUAUAUCAACAUGUCAUCUGACGGGUCAAGUGGGAUAUCUACAUCCGGCCAGCCCAAAGCACAAAUACAGCUACCUACUGAAGAAACAGCAUCUCCAAAACCUAAAGGCAGUUCCCGAUGUUUGUCGGUCAAAGUGUUCCCAUUUAUUGAAGUUACAAAAGAUGGCUACUGGGGCACCUCUUGCAAAAAAGCUUACGAAGAAGGAAAGCUUCCCAAUGCUACAAUU